rnacentral:misc_RNA from 1 species
CUUGGCCACUCCUAUUAAGGUUUCGCAUCGAGAAAAUAAAGAGUUACCUAACGAUUAUCACCCUCGGAAAACCGAAGCACAGCAAGCAUUUUCACACGAGCUGAAACCAGAGGAAUCACAGUCGAUUCAACUAGAGCUAUUCCUUCUGUUGUCACAAGAAGUGCUUACUAUUCAUAUUCAUCGCCUUGAGGCCUGGUCUUUAUUGCCCUGAGCAACUCCUAAAGAAAAGAAAGAAGGGCUUUCCUCCUAACCUAAACUAAAGGCUAAGAUGACACCGCUUAUUCCAUCAAACCUGAAAAGAGCUGAUUCUUCCUCCACCUCUGAAAGCAGGAGGUAGGGAAAGAUGACAUGAGCUUAGAGGAGUUGAAUUAGCUUCCAAUCCUAGCAUACUCAAGUCAGCAUUCCCAAGGCACCAGCAUAAUCCGAGUGUUUACUCUCCACUCGCUAAGCCGCUGGGAUACCGCUGCCUCAAAGGCUAAACCACGGCACUAUGCUUAACACAUCGAAUUGAAUUGGGCCUAAGGGGCUCUAAGCUAAGGUGUAGAUUGAUUUUUUUCGGAGCUGAGGUUGGCCCUAGAUAUGUCGGUUCGAUUCCGACCUGUUCUAUGUGAUGGUCAUUCUUAUGUGAUGAUCAUGGUCUUCCCCAAGAUGA